rnacentral:rRNA from 1 species
CCUACGGGUGGCAGCAGUAGGGAAUAUUGCUCAAUGGGGGAAACCCUGAAGCAGCAACGCCGCGUGGAGGAUGCAGGUUUUCGGAUUGUAAACUCCUUUUGUUAGAGAAGAUAAUGACGGUAUCUAACGAAUAAGCACCGGCUAACUCCGUGCCAGCAGCCGCGGUAAUACGGAGGGUGCAAGCGUUACCCGGAAUCACUGGGCGUAAAGAGCGCGUAGGCGGGAUAGCAAGUCAGAUGUGAAAUCCUCAGGCUUAACCAUAGAACUGCAUUUGAAACUGUUAUUCUAGAGUGUGGUAGAGGUAAGUGGAAUGCUUGGUGUAGGGGUAAAAUCCGUAGAGAUCAAGAGGAAUACUCAUGGCGAAGGCGACCUGCUAGAACGUAACUGACGCUGAUGCGCGAAAGCGUGGGUAGCAAACAGGAUUAGAUACCCGAGUAGUC